ACACAUGCAGUCGAGCGGUAGCACAGAGAGCUUGCUCUCGGGUGACGAGCGGCGGACGGGUGAGUAAUGUCUGGGAAACUGCCUGAUGGAGGGGGAUAACUACUGGAAACGGUAGCUAAUACCGCAUAACGUCGCAAGACCAAAGUGGGGGACCUUCGGGCCUCAUGCCAUCAGAUGUGCCCAGAUGGGAUUAGCUGGUAGGUGGGGUAACGGCUCACCUAGGCGACGAUCCCUAGCUGGUCUGAGAGGAUGACCAGCCACACUGGAACUGAGACACGGUCCAGACUCCUACGGGAGGCAGCAGUGGGGAAUAUUGCACAAUGGGCGCAAGCCUGAUGCAGCCAUGCCGCGUGUGUGAAGAAGGCCUUCGGGUUGUAAAGCACUUUCAGCGGGGAGGAAGGCGGUGAGGUUAAUAACCUCAUCGAUUGACGUUACCCGCAGAAGAAGCACCGGCUAACUCCGUGCCAGCAGCCGCGGUAAUACGGAGGGUGCAAGCGUUAAUCGGAAUUACUGGGCGUAAAGCGCACGCAGGCGGUCUGUCAAGUCGGAUGUGAAAUCCCCGGGCUCAACCUGGGAACUGCAUUCGAAACUGGCAGGCUAGAGUCUUGUAGAGGGGGGUAGAAUUCCAGGUGUAGCGGUGAAAUGCGUAGAGAUCUGGAGGAAUACCGGUGGCGAAGGCGGCCCCCUGGACAAAGACUGACGCUCAGGUGCGAAAGCGUGGGGAGCAAACAGGAUUAGAUACCCUGGUAGUCCACGCUGUAAACGAUGUCGAUUUGGAGGUUGUGCCCUUGAGGCGUGGCUUCCGGAGCUAACGCGUUAAAUCGACCGCCUGGGGAGUACGGCCGCAAGGUUAAAACUCAAAUGAAUUGACGGGGGCCCGCACAAGCGGUGGAGCAUGUGGUUUAAUUCGAUGCAACGCGAAGAACCUUACCUGGUCUUGACAUCCACAGAACUUUCCAGAGAUGGAUUGGUGCCUUCGGGAACUGUGAGACAGGUGCUGCAUGGCUGUCGUCAGCUCGUGUUGUGAAAUGUUGGGUUAAGUCCCGCAACGAGCGCAACCCUUAUCCUUUGUUGCCAGCGGUUAGGCCGGGAACUCAAAGGAGACUGCCAGUGAUAAACUGGAGGAAGGUGGGGAUGACGUCAAGUCAUCAUGGCCCUUACGACCAGGGCUACACACGUGCUACAAUGGCAUAUACAAAGAGAAGCGACCUCGCGAGAGCAAGCGGACCUCAUAAAGUAUGUCGUAGUCCGGAUUGGAGUCUGCAACUCGACUCCAUGAAGUCGGAAUCGCUAGUAAUCGUAGAUCAGAAUGCUACGGUGAAUACGUUCCCGGGCCUUGUACACACCGCCCGUCACACCAUGGGAGUGGGUUGCAAAAGAAGUAGGUAGCUUAACCUUCGGGAGGGCGCUACC
rnacentral:rRNA from 1 species